AACGAACGCUGGCGGCAUGCCUAACACAUGCAAGUCGAACGAGACCUUCGGGUCUAGUGGCGCACGGGUGCGUAACGCGUGGGAACCUGCCCUUAGGUUCGGAAUAACUCCCCGAAAGGGGUGCUAAUACCGGAUAAUGUCUUCGGACCAAAGAUUUAUCGCCUUUGGAUGGGCCCGCGUUGGAUUAGCUAGUUGGUAGGGUAAAAGCCUACCAAGGCGACGAUCCAUAGCUGGUCUGAGAGGAUGAUCAGCCACACUGGGACUGAGACACGGCCCUGACUCCUACGGGAGGCAGCAGUGGGGAAUAUUGGACAAUGGGCGAAAGCCUGAUCCAGCAAUGCCGCGUGAGUGAUGAAGGCCUUAGGGUUGUAAAGCUCUUUUACCCGGGAUGAUAAUGACAGUACCGGGAGAAUAAGCUCCGGCUAACUCCGUG
rnacentral:rRNA from 1 species